CCUACGGGUGGCAGCAGUGGGGGAUAUUGCACAAUGGGGGGAACCCUGAUGCAGCGACGCCGCGUGGGUGAAGAAGGGCCUCGGCGCGUAAAGCCCUGUCAGCAGGGAAGAAAAUGACGGUACCUGAAGAAGAAGCCACGGCUAACUACGUGCCAGCAGCCGCGGUCAUACGUAGGGGGCAAGCGUUAUCCGGAUUUACUGGGUGUAAAGGGGGCGCAGACGGUGAUGCAAGCCAGCAGUGAAAGCCCGGGGCUCAACCCCGGGACUGCUCUUGGUACUGCGUGGCUGGAGUGCAGGAGGGGCAGGCGGAAUUCCUGGUGUAGCGGUGAAAUGCGUAGAUAGCAGGAGGAACACCGGUGGCGAAGGCGGCCUGCUGGACUGCAACUGACGUUGAGGCCCGAAAGCGUGGGGAGCAAACAGGAUUAGAUACCCUAGUAGUC
rnacentral:rRNA from 1 species